UACGGAGGGGGCAAGCGUUGUUCGGAAUUAUUGGGCGUAAAGGGCGCGUAGGCGGCCGGCCAAGUCGGGGGUGAAAUCCUGGAGCUCAACUCCAGAACUGCCUUCGAUACUGGCGAUCUUGAGUCCGGAAGAGGUGAGUGGAACUCCUAGUGUAGAGGUGGAAUUCGUAGAUAUUAGGAAGAACACCAGUGGCGAAGGCGGCUCACUGGUCCGGUACUGACGCUGAGGUGCGAAAGCUAGGGGAGCAAACGGG
rnacentral:rRNA from 1 species